CACCGGGCGAGCGGCCGAACACGCAGCCGCCCGGAUUAGCAGCAUUAGCAGCCAGCGCCGAGCAACAAUUAAUCAUUUGCUGGGGUCACAGGAGGCUCAACCUGGUGUCCUGGCAGAUGAAACAGGAUUGGAAGACGAUGUGGUUCGAGCCCCCGCUUCCAACACACUCCAGCUGCUAAUGGGUCCUCGCUGCAGAGAAGAGCUAAGCCAAAGAAAUUGCCCCAAACAUCUACAGAGGAGGUGCCAAGUCUUCAGCACCAACUGGUUUUAGUGCCCUCCAGUGUGCCCUCACGAAUUAAUAACCUGCAGGGCAGUUAGAGCCAUGAAAUGUCUAAAAAAAUCCAUGGAGCCACCAUUAAAUGCAGUAAUGGCAAAUCAGGGUGAAGAGAUGGAGUCAGAAGGUUCCGCUAUCUGAGCAACCCUAGUGGGAUCUAAACAGGUGACAUUCCCAAGCCAGGAGUUGGACUGUGGUGAUCCUUGCUGGUCCCUUCCAAGUCAGGGUAUUCCAUGGCUGUGUGGAGGCUCAGUGUGACCCACCAUGACCCCAUGCCACCCUUGCUCCCACUGCAAGGAGAAGGGCUGUGCUCUGGCUGCCCAGGCAUCUGCCAGCAGGUGUCACCUACACCACUUCAAUUUGAGCCACUGGAGUCCCAUCAUCCCUUUGCUUCCCCCUUGGUGAACCAAAUGACAGAGGAGGCAAAAUGAGCCCAGAGUGCCCUUUGUUUCCUUGGAGUCUGUGUUAGCAGCUGGGAUAUCUCAGGUGUAUCCCAACUUUGGGUUGUUUGGGAUAGUUCCAUUGUUUAUAAACACUCCUGGACCUCUUUCUCAUCUUGCAUCCUUGCGUAUCUUCCAAUGUGCACCCUGUUUUGUUGGAAGACUUGUCCUGUUCUGUUGCAAAAUAACCUCUGCUUAGCAACACAUCUCUACCUUCAUCCUUCUGUGGAGCUGAGCAGCCCACCUACAGAUCAGCGUGGAUUCCUGAAAAUGCCAGUCUCACUCCACAGACACUUUACAGUUCAACUUAGGUGACUUUAAAGAGCAUUUUGACAGUCUGGGAUGAGAGAUGCCUCGCUCACUGCUGCUGCUUUUGUGUGGUAUGACAUGGGCAAAGCUGGCUCACAGCCACCUCCCAGGGGUUUGGUUUGUGUGGCAGAGGUGGAGCUCAGGGAAACGAGCCAUGCAUGUUUGUUAGAUGGAAAUAGGUUAAAGAGAUAAGGAAGCACUUGGAACUGAACUAAGGUGUUUACAGGCCCUGGAAGGAAAGCAGUGCGUGCUGCCCAGGGAUGAGGCUGGGCAAAGCCAAUGGCACAGGGUGCCAUGGCUCCUCAUGGGUGACGUGCAGGAGCAUCACCUGGUGAAGGUCCUUCACAUGGGGUGGUCUGCAGAAAUCACUUGGCUUUGGUGUGCUAAAACCCACUGUUAUUGAUGAAGUUAUGGGAGAACUGGACUGCAAUGCUCCUGGUCCCUCUGCUCAUGCUAUGGCACUGCCCUUUGUUUUCAGACUCCUAACAAAACCUGGGCUAAAAAAUAAACAUUGCAACUUGUUCUUAGAUUUGUUGUAAAUGCAUGUAAUUUUCUUGAAGAUCGCCAUAACAAUCAUCAAGAAAACCAACUUCAAACUAAGGCUGCUCUAGAGGAUAAUGAACACUAGAAAACUGAUGCCAAAACCCUGAUGGAAACAAUGCAAAAAGAGGGGGAAUAAAAAGAUAACAUGUGUUAAGGGUUUUGAUCAUGCUUCCAGUUGACACAUCCUCUUAACAUUAAUCUAAACCUGGGAAAAUUGCAAUAAACAUUUCAGUAAUCCCUUUAACUUUGAAUCUCUGCAACAGAAAUACCAAAAUGCAAAAUAUUUUCAUGUGGGCUUUAGAGAUGGAUGUAUAAAACAGAACAAAACACUUUUUUCAAACUGGAAGUCAUUAAUCUACCUUCAGUAACUAUGGGUUGUCUUGCAUUAACCUAGGGGACAGAUUUUCUACUUCUCCUCACAUUAUCAUAUUGAAUAAUACUCAUAGAAGCCAAUUGAACUACUUGUGAGUAAAAUGUUACUCAAAAAAUAAGAUUAUCAAAGCCAAAUCAUAUGUAAAUAAUAUCUUUCAAAGUCUGCUGAACACGUCUUCUAGCCACAGAGCGACAACAUUUUAAUCACCUAAAUAUAAAAAUGCUCACUGCAAAAGCCCAAGAGUCCAAAGUUUUUUAAUUAAGUCCAUAAAAAAUAAAUAUAUUAGGUUGAAAAUUGUAGAAGGCUUUAAAUAAUGUAUUAAACUUCUUUUUUUUUUUUUCUGCAUUAAAAUGGCUCCAGUUGGUGUUGUCAAACCUUUUGCACCAGCAGUGCUUUUUAAUAAAAGCUGAAAUUUUCUGAUACUCUCUUGAUUCUUAGAGGUCUUUGUGAAAAGCACAAAUAUAGUGAGAUGCAAGGCAGCAUUGUAACAUUUAGCAACAACACAGAGUAACAGUUAAUGAAGAAUUUCAGUUGCAGUGACCUGUAAAUGAGACGUUACCUUAACUAGCUCUUGAUCAUCUUCCUUUGGACUGGAGUUGCCAACUAAACAGGAAUAAAUACUGCAUGCUUCCAUCACUUACACAAACUAGCUUACCAGAAUAAACCUUCAGAAAUAUUUUUGAAGGCCAGGGUGGUGUUUCCACUGAAAAAACAAGAAAAUCAUUUAACCAAACUGCAUGCUACUGGAAUGAUAAAGUAAAUCUUCACAUUUUCAUUUGUGUUAAUGUAAGGGGUUGAAUGACUGGGUAUUCAAAACUUUACACAUUUUGUAGUAAUUAAUUUCUACUGCUUUUGAAAUGGUUGGGGUUUCUUGAUGUUAACAUUCUCAAAAUUUGUUUUGGGAAACAUUUGCAGGUUCUUGGUGAAACUGUAGCUUUAACUACAUCCUUUACAUCUACAAAUAUCUUUCUAUUUUAAAGAAAUAAAAGGUGCAUUAAAGGGCAAAAAUAACUACCAACUACCAUCACAGUGUCAUCACUGAGCUCAUCAAAAUGGUCUGUGUAGUAUUACAUCACAGUAUUAUUAAUUAUUACAGUAGGACAUAAUUGUAGCUUUGCUCUGUGGGCCUUAGACCUUUCAGUCUCUCUGAUUUCUACUCCACUUUGGUAGAGCCAACCAAGUGCAGGUGGCUUAGUGCUUAGAAAAGGCAAAAAGUGCUGCUGUGAGCACUGUUCUUAAGGGUGAUUCAUGAAGGGAGAGCAGAGCUUUUAAUUCAGAAAGACUGCAUUCACAUAGCAAGACAUUGGAGGUUUUAAAUAUCUGGUAUCUUAGUACAGGGAGGUGAGUCUAUGACAGUGAAGAUACAUGUUUUCAGAUUCAUUUUUCUUGUAAGAGUUUGUCUGUAAGCAAUAUCUCUAAUCAUCACUGUGUCUGACUAGCCCCAUGUUGAACUUGGGGGAAAAUUUGUGGAGAAAUUUUACUUUGGCUGCUACUGACUGAUAGUUUCCAAACCAUGUUAUGAAAUUGCCUGAAAUAAAUUGUCCACUAACAUCA